UGGCAUCACUGACUCAAUGGGAAUGAGUUUGAGCAAACUCUGGGAGAUGGUGAAGGACAGGGAAGCCUGGUAUGCUGUAGUCCAUGGGAUUGCAAAGAGUCGCUGAGCUACUGAACCACAAUAACAACUCUGUUGCCUAAGGAGAGAGUUCACGUCGCUGAAAAUAUGAGUGAGAACAGAGCUCCUGCCUGUGGUGAACAAUUCAGUCCUUGUGGACAGGACUCCAUGAAUCAGACAAUGCUUUUGGAUGAGCUGAGUUGAAGAUGCAUCCUGGUCUGUGUUGGUGAUGUGGCACUAGCUUUCAUAGGCUCCAGAAUUCAAUAAGCUCCUCUUCAUGAUGCCUGGCAUAUCACGAGAGCUUGAUGAGUAUUUGUUGAGUUGUUGGGAAAUAUAUGGGAAGACGCUGCCCAGGGCCUGGUGCUUGGUAAGCGCAGUAAAGGUGCACAGCAUGAGCAUUUCGCUGGACCCAUGAUGCAGUCACUAGCCAUUCUCUUCAGAGUAUUCGAAGCCCCACCUACUCCCUUGCCUUCUGUGGAGCAGCUCACGUGGCCCUUCUGGAACACCCUUGGACCUGCCGACUCAAAGGGCUGAAUAGUUCAGGAUGUUUCCUGCUUUCAGAGCCUUAAAGGCCCUAAUGUAACCUCUUUAUUUGACACAUAGAAGAUCUCGAAGAGAUUUUGUGACUCAUGCCUCACUGCUUCUACUAGCUUCUUUUUUUUUUAAGAUUUUUACAUUAAAAAUUUUUUUUAUCAUGCCACAGAGCAGGUGGGAUCUUAGUUCCUGA